ACAGGGCAGUUUGGCUGCAGGAGGCCAGGCAGCAACAUUGCCUGGCUGAAGGGCUGCUGUGAACGACCCGGAGUUAAAAAUCAUGUCCAUGGAUGGAGCUAGGAUUUUCUAAAAGCAGGUGCAGGAGCAGCACCCAGAUCCCAGCUUCCUUCUCUUCCUGCACCCCCUGCCCCCGCCAAUGGGAUGCACAGACCUCACUGCAGGAACAGCAGCUCAGGACAUUUUUAAAGCCCCCAAUCAGGUAUAAGGGAUGCCCCGCUGUUUCCUGUGUGGCUGUAUUGUCCUCCAUUGCUACAGUAUCUUCUGCUGCAUGUAGUACAUGCCAUCAAACAUCAGCUAGCAAAAGUGACACUGAAAUGGUGGCAUGCGAGCCCCCUGCAACAAUCAUGAGCCUCUUGCUGUAUUGCUGAGAGAUUGAGAAGACAUCAACACUGACUAUAGCUAUACUAGAAAAGAACUGAAAAGUGUGUAGUCACUGAAGAGAACAUUUGCAGCAGGAAAAGCUCUUUUCAGCCAGGGAGACAGUGAAAGCAAAACUGUCUUUAAAGAAAGUACAUGGAUUUUAAUUGUUUACAAUUAAAUAUUUAAGGACAAUUGCAUUCCUUAAUCUUGACAGUUUGAACACAGUACUUACAUAUGCUCGUUUGGGACUGUGAGUUCUCUCCUGUAUCUUGCUCUCUAGACCAAUAAUUUGCAUUGGCAAGCUCUGUUAGUGAAUUUCCCCAGAUCAAAACUUCUGUUCUGAAAUGUAGGUAGUGAGACCUUGACUUUGAAUGAUAGGGAAAUCAAGUGGCUUGGAAAUGUGCCAGCCUAUAAGGAAGUGCCUGAUUGUACUUGCAAAUAGAUUCUUUAUUCAUCAUCUCAGCAGUUGUAUGCAGCACAGAUGAAAUCCCUUCUGAUUUUUCUAUUCCUUUUAGAGAAGGGGUGGAUGACCUGUCUGAAAAAACAUCCCCUUGAAAUGAUUUAUGUUUGGUAAUGCUGCUGCCUCUGUACACAGUGGUAGCCCACUCACACAGUGAGUCACCGUGUCAGUUCUAAGAUUUAAGAAGAAUAUCUACAAAAGCAAGCUUUAAUCUGAGAAACAAUUUAAAUAAAAAUCCCAAGUGAACACCCUUAUUAUAAAAGCAGACCUUAGUGUUGGCUUCUGUAUAGACUAAAUGCUACAUAUGAAGUUUAAUUUGAAAAACAAAAUGACCCACAUUUACUUCCACAUUUCUUAAAGGAAUUUUCUAAAAAUAAACUUCAAGUUUCACUUGCUAAGGACAGAUAUGAUGAUGAAUUUUUUAGCAGUUGCCUAUUAGUUUUCUGACUGAACAAUACAGAGGAUAACAUCUUAAAGACAUUUAAAAGACCCUAAGCUUGUUGUUAACCAUGUCCCUGUCAUUCAUUUUAAAUAACGACCAGCCUUCUGAAUUUGACAGUACUUUAUUUGCUUCUUUGGGGAAUUUAUCUUUUUUUUUUGGUCUGUCUCAGUCUUCACAAAUUAAAAUUACUAUCUCCUCUUCUGUCAUCUAUAGCUGUGUUUUGAAGUCUAUUCAUUGCAAUGAAUCAGAGAAAAAUGGAGUGGUUUAUGUGUGUAGGGGUAGGCUCAGCAUUUAACUCAUUAGCUAUUUUUAAUCUUCAUUUGCUUGCUUGCUGUACCAAAGUCUAAGAGGCAGACAAAAACAUUUUUAAAAUGUGGGUUAAAGCCCAAGAUGUAAGCAUGAGUCUCAAGUUAGAUUCCUAAAGAUAUGGUUUCAGGCGAGAUAAAGGUAAAAGGCACCUAUUCACCCCACUAAUGAGAUCAAGUGUGCUGGAUGGUCCAAGGAUGGAGAGCUUUAGCACACUGGGAGAUGGGUUCUCCUUUCUGCUCAGUCCCUUAGAUAGACAAUUACAGAAUCUUUUGCUACUGCUGUCAGCUGAUCUGGAUAGAAACAAAAAUGCUCCAUUUCACUCACUAGUUCUCCUGGUUGGCAGCCCUUAUAUAUCCCCUCUCAGCAAAGGGAUUGGCAUAGGGGAAUCAGUCCCAUCCUACUCCACUAGAUCCUGGGCCAGGGCUAUGAUCUUUUGCAAUCAGCAGACCACCAUCCUUCCACAACAUGCAGUUCUGUGUAGCAUUUCCUAACUCUGUCCUUUAGCAGUCCUCUAGCAGUUUAGUAUGUCACCUCUAUUGGGGUACCAUCUUCCUCCUCCUUCCAGAGCUUAUGGACUUCCAGUGACCCUGCUGUCUGAGAGAACUCACAGUGGGAGCUCUCCAGCUGUGGCUGAUAUCUGGGAGCUCCUGAUGCUUCCCAGACUCAACUGCACCCUGUUCCCUGGCUCAAACUUCAUAGAUGCAGGUGUAGAGCUGGAUGUGGUCAGGAAUCUAUGCCUUCAAAAGCCACCACUUGAGGCUUCAUUAGUAUUCAGUAUUCUCUUCCUGUGUGUUCCUCAUCAUAGGAAUGGAAGGGAGUAUGUGGCGCAGUAGAUGUGGAAUGGCACUGCUCAUGUUCCAGGAUUUGGGAAUAGUAUGGGUUUUAUAUACGUGUCUCUCUCUCUCUCUCUUAUUUUGCAGGACUUGCCUGUACCCAUUCAGAUUGUUUGCAUAGGGUGAUUUAUUUUUUUUCAGCCAGCAGUCAAAUCAUCCUUCAGAGUUAUGCACACAUCCACCACUGGAGUCAACCAGAGAUCAUUUGUCAAAAUCAAAAUGACUCUGAGAUGUAAAGUUAUUCCACUACAAGCAAUUUUAAAUUGGUUUGGGCCCAGGCCAAAACUCCAGAUCCAGUUUCAGAGCUCUCACAUAUCUCUGCCAUGGUCUGUAUGAGGACACCUGUCUGAUAUCUCCCAGAUAAAAAUUUUAAAACUUUAAAGAGAUUGGGAUCUGGAAAUUUUUACAAAUCAUUAUAAAGCUGCAGGGCAUAAGCCUCCUCUCAUAAAAGAAGAACUCAUUCCAUCAACUGUAUUAGAGAUGUAGCAACAUGAGCAAAAGGAGAAUUUGGCUCAUGAAGUUUAGAUCCUCCUCUGAUAUGGAGCUGCAGUUGGGAUGUUGGAAAAUGACUGAAUCCGCCGGCAAUAUGGAAUGAAGAUUUCUAUCUCUCUUUGUCCCUUUGUACAUGUGCACACACACAUAUAUAUGUAAUCAAGCAAAAACUGUUAAUUAUCUAUCUUUGCUGAUUAUUUUGGGGGCGAUGAUGCUAGUCAUAAGCAUUCAUUUCUGUAGUGUUAUCCCACUCCACCUCCUCACCAUGUGUUAAAUUACUGUGAUAUUUUUAUUCUUCUCUUGUCUAGUGCUCUCCAGCCUUCUCUUUUCUCACCAUUGACUUAUGAGAACUGAGUCUUUGUUAUUUUCUCCUUUUUUAUAAUUGAAAUUGUAUGUGAGUGAGAUGAGGGAAGAAGAACAUUGGGCUGCUCUCCUUGUUUUGCGUUGGUGUUUACUAUGACUCAUAUCAACAGCUUGGUGCUCUUGAAAAAUUUUAUGGUGGGAGAACCAACAGCCUGAAUACAGCAAAAGUAACAGCAGAAGGAUUAGAGACCCACUGUGAUAGACCUCACAUGGUAAGAAGGCAGAAGCUGCUCUGAAGACUUCAGAGGUGAGGAACAGGGAACAGAGAGAAGAAGAGACAUAAUAAUUUGUCCAG